UACAGAGGUCCCAAGCGUUGUUCGGAUUCACUGGGCGUAAAGGGUGCGUAGGUGGUGGGGUAAGUCGGAUGUGAAAUCUCCGAGCUCAACUCGGAAAUGGCAUUGGAAACUACCCUGCUAGAGGGUCGGAGGGGGGACUGGAAUACUUGGUGUAGCAGUGAAAUGCGUAGAGAUGUGGAGGAAUACCGAUGGCGAAGGCAGCCCCCUGGGCCAAUACUGACGCUCAUGCACGAAAGCGUGGGGAGCAGACAGG
rnacentral:rRNA from 1 species